GACGAACGCUGGCGGCGUGCCUAAUACAUGCAAGUUGAGCGAUGAAGCUUGGUGCUUGCCCCAAUUUGAAGAGCAGCGAACGGGUGAGUAACGCGUGGGGAAUCUGCCUUUGAGCGGGGGACAACAUUUGGAAACGAAUGCUAAUACCGCAUAACAACUUUAAACAUAAGUUUUAAGUUUGAAAGAUGCAAUUGCAUCACUCAAAGAUGAUCCCGCGUUGUAUUAGCUAGUUGGUGAGGUAAAGGCUCACCAAGGCGAUGAUACAUAGCCGACCUGAGAGGGUGAUCGGCCACAUUGGGACUGAGACACGGCCCAAACUCCUACGGGAGGCAGCAGUAGGGAAUCUUCGGCAAUGGACGAAAGUCUGAACGAGCAACGCCGCGGGAGUGAAGAAGGGUUUCGGAUCGUAAAACUCUGUUGGUAGAGAAGAAAGUUGGUGAGAGUGGAAAGCUCAUCAAGUGACGGUAACUACCCAGAAAGGGACGGCUAACUACGUG
rnacentral:rRNA from 1 species